CCUACGGGUGGCAGCAGUGAGGAAUAUUGGUCAAUGGACGAGAGUCUGAACCAGCCAAGUAGCGUGAAGGAUGACUGCCCCAUGGGUUGUAAACUUCUUUUAUAUGGGAAUAAAACGUUCCACGUGUGGGAUUUUGUAUGUACCAUAUGAAUAAGGAUCGGCUAACUCCGUGCCAGCAGCCGCGGUAAUACGGGGGAUCCGAGCGUUAUCCGGAUUUAUUGGGUUUAAAGGGAGCGUAGGUGGAUUGUUAAGUCAGUUGUGAAAGUUUGCGGCUCAACCGUAAAAUUGCAGUUGAAACUGGCAGUCUUGAGUACAGUAGAGGUGGGCGGAAUUCGUGGUGUAGCGGUGAAAUGCUUAGAUAUCACGAAGAACUCCGAUUGCGAAGGCAGUUCACUGGACUGCAACUGACACUGAGGCUCGAAAGUGUGGGUAUCAAACAGGAUUAGAUACCCCUGUAGUC
rnacentral:rRNA from 1 species